ACAUAAGCAUUUGACUUUCAGCUAGAGGAAGACAAGUUUUCUCCGAGAGACAACUCCCAGAAUUGCUAGAAGAUGGCAGAUUUCAAAAUGACCGUGACAAUUCUUCUCUUGCUGUGCUUAGUUUCCAGUGGCAUGGGAAUGUCUCUCGUAAGGCGGGAUCUGAAGGGGAAUUCUGCUGCAGAAAGAUUUCUCCGAGCACUAGAUAAACGAGCGGAGCUUGUUGAACGUUCUGAUUGUCAAGACACAAACCCCGAUAUAUACUUCUGCAUGUUUGCGGCCUUUGAAGAGCAAUCUUGUGAAACGUAUGGAUCGGAAUGUGCCUUUUCAUGUGGAAUCUGUUAGAGCUUUGCCCGAAGAAUUGCCAUGAAGCAAUGUAUUGCUGACAUUCCAAAAUUUAUAUUAGCUAUGCCUAUGUUUUGAUUUACAACUGAAGUUCUCCUGCAUGUGCUCUUGCGGAGCUCACUUGACCUUAAUGAAUAUGGCAAAAUAAAACAAUGAAAUAUCAUAAAUCAAAAGAAAUUUAUUUCAAAUGUCUUAAAUGUACAGUGGCACGAUAAAACGACUCUUGGAUCUGAUGAUGACCUCCGGCAAUCAAUGAUACUCUCACCCAGCGUAUCAAAGCUUAAACUCAACUAUUUUUAAUGUAUUAAUUAUGAAAAUGAAAACGCCCUCAGUCAUAUGAAUAAAAGGAAACUAAAAACCA